UCAGAAACAAAUAUAUAAGAUUUCUCAAGCACUUAUGAUAGUAGGACACUGAAGACCACUUCUCCUUCGCUGUCAGGAAGGAGUAUGGCAGAAGUAAUUUCUGAAGUUAUGGCUGGGUGAGGUUACCUUACAUGGCUUAAUAAAAAUGAAAUAAAUCUCAUGCAGUGCUGUUGUAUUUGUUUGUGUUAUGGCGUUCGCCCCAAAGUGAUUUGUGUCCUAGAUUUAUCUUCUGAUGAAACGGCAUAGCCCAGCUGUCUGGUGCCAUUGUCACUGCUCAUAGAAGUGGUCCAUUCUUUUUGUGGUAUUGUAUUUAACGUGUUUUGUGAAGUCAUGCCAGCAUGUCUGUUCUGUGAUACCCAAGAAAAAGCAGACACCUCUGGCUUAUUCAUCCUAAAAUUGCUCUCUCUAAAGAACUGGAUAUUGAGGAGAGGUAUGUAAGUUCUAACAAAGAGGAGUCGUUGACUUAAGCAUUCUCUACUGAUACCUUUCUUCCAGAAAGUCGCUUUAGUCAUUAAAUAGGGGGG